rnacentral:rRNA from 1 species
GAGUUUGAUUAUGGCUCAGGAUGAACGCUGGCGGCGUGCUUAACACAUGCAAGUCGAACGAAGCGAGAAGAAAGAAGUUUUUCGAAAUGGAUUUUUUCUUUGCUUAGUGGCGGACGGGUGCGUAACACGUAGGUAACCUGCCCUGUGCUUCGGAAUAACUCCGGGAAACCGGUGCUAAUGCCGAAUAAUAUCGCCUGUCGGCAUCGAGAGGCGAUCAAAGAAUUUUGGCACAGGAUGGGCCUGCGCCGGAUUAGCUGGUUGGUGAGGUAACGGCUCACCAAGGCGACGAUCCGUAGCCGACCUGAGAGGGUGAUCGGCCACACUGGAACUGAGACACGGUCCAGACUCCUACGGGAGGCAGCAGUGGGGAAUAUUGCACAAUGGGGGAAACCCUGAUGCAGCAACGCCGCGUGAGCGAUGAAGGCUUUCGAGUCGUAAAGCUCUGUCCUAUGGGAAGAUGAUGACGUACNNAGAG